rnacentral:rRNA from 1 species
UACGGAGGGUGCAAGCGUUAUCCGGAUUCACUGGGUUUAAAGGGUGCGUAGGAGGGCAGGUAAGUCAGUGGUGAAAUCUUCGAGCUUAACUCGGAACUGCCGUUGAUACUAUCUGUCUUGAAUCCCGUGGAGAUGAGCGGAAUAUGUCAUGUAGCGGUGAAAUGCUUAGAUAUGACAUAGAACACCAAUUGCGAAGGCAGCUUACUACGGGAAUAUUGACACUGAGGCACGAAAGCGUGGGGAUCAAACAGG